rnacentral:rRNA from 1 species
ACGCUCGACACCUACGGAGGCAGCAGUAGGGAAUCUUCCACAAUGGGCGCAAGCCUGAUGGAGCAACACCGCGUGAGUGAAGAAGGGUUUCGGCUCGUAAAGCUCUGUUGUUGGAGAAGAACGUGCGUGAGAGUAACUGUUCACGCAGUGACGGUAUCCAACCAGAAAGUCACGGCUAACUACGUGCCGGCAGCCGCGGUAAUCUGAGCGGGCUGGCAAGGCG